GGGUGAAAGGAAUAGUUAUACUGUAGGAUCCAAAGUUGACUCUCAAGCAUACAUAAUGUAGAGAGUUAGCAUUAUCGUAUGCUCAGUUUAGAACUUUCUCACCUCUGUGUAAUUCCACAAGAAGGUCUCAUUUGUACUUGAUAUUUCUUCUUUGUUCUUCCCCUUUUGGUGUCUUCUGGAUUUUCAGACUUAAAUUAAGACUGAUAAUAUCCUUUCCUCUUAUUGGUAAGAGAAGAACUUCUUUUUCAAUAAGGUAAUACCAUUGAAAAGAAGCAUCAGACUUGAUGCUAGUCCUGAUGACAAGACUGCAAAGAAGAUAAAAUCUGCACCUUUGUUGAGCUCCCUGAAAAGUCAAAAAGCUGCUACCCCUCCUGGCCCUGGUUAAAGAAUUUUGGUUUGUUAUCCUUUGGUGGUACUUCAGCUAAGUCAUUCUUCAAGGGACUGUCUGAAUGACACUUUAUAGGUAUAUUUAGGACAUGUAACUUUCUUUUGAUUUCCCCUUGUCUUAUUCCCAAAAAUUCUUUGGGUCAGGGGUAAAAAAGGGUUUAUAAAUAAUUUGAAAUUGUAAAAUUAAGUGCUCUGAUUUUCUGUUGAAAAAGGUUAUCAGUGUAAAAUCCUUACAUUUUAGAAACUCUGUUAUUCUUUUGCAUCGAGCUUGGGCUGGAUUUUGCCAGAGGUUGUUUUUGUUGAGCUUCAGUAGUAGAAGCUGAAAGCACCUGGCAAUGUAGGGAGGAAUCGAACCCAAAAGUGAAUUGAAAGACAAAUCAAUUGCAUGUAGACAAGUUAAAUUUCCAAUCCUCGCUAGAUCUCUCCUAUUAACAGAUUGUGUGAAAGAAACAAUGCUUGUAAGCGCCUCGACUCUGUAAUCUCCACUAGUAUUUCACCUGAAAACAGAUUUGAGAGAGGUCAAGAAGUACUAGACCAGAUUUUUCUGUUGUUGCUGCAAUUUAACUCAGUAUAGGGCCAGAGAAAUUGUUAGAACUCAGGUCCAGAACAAGCAACUUCUUGGAUAAUAUGAAUCUCGGCGAAAGCUCGCAGAGAUGAAAUGCAGGUGGGACUCCCUCUGACGAUGACAUUGUUUGCAAGAUUGACGACUAUGAGCGAAUCAAUGUAAGUAGAGAAGGAAGAAAGAGUUCCCAAAAUUUUGUUUGAAACGAGAUUAAGAUACACCAACUGUUGACUAAAAUCACAAAAAGUUCCAGACAAGAAAUUGUGGCAGAGAUCCAAACGUAUCAAUGAUUUCAGGUAUAACAUGCUUUCAGGAAUCUCUCCACCAAACGAAUUUGACACAAAAGAUCGAAUCCUGGAAGAUUGGAAGAAAAGUAAUCAAUCCAUGAAGGAACUAAGCUUUCUAAUCCUUCAUUUUCUCUCAGAACAGGCUCCUCCAGAAGAUGAAGUUCCAUUAGCACAUCUGGAAUGAUACCUUGAAGCCUAUUCUGGGUAAGAUUUAGGAUUUUUCAGAGCUUUUAGUCUCCCAAAACACCAAGUUAUUGAACCUGAGUAGUUGUUGCGAGGCAGAAGAAGUGUUUCGAGGGAUGAAAGCUCACAUAAGCUUGGGUGAAUCAGGCCAGAGCGGUUGGAGGAGCUGAGAUUAAUUGAAACACCUCGUGGGUUCAGUUCUCACAGGUGAUUCUGGUCCCAAUUGCUGCAUUUGGAACCAACCCAAGUCGAUAAGCUUUGGUUGGAAUUAUUAUUCUCUGACCUGAACUUGAGAAGCGAAGAUCUGUCUCUGGUCUCAGAUUACAGCAAUGAUGAUGAAGUUGAAGCACAGAACUGCAAUAACUAGAAGACUGAGGAAUGAAGCAAGCUGGGGGCUUUACAGGGUAGGAAGACUGGAAACAUUGCUGCUGCCAUUAAUGGAGUUCGAAUUUACAGAGAACAGACUA